AAGGAGCCCAGGACUGCAGACGCCUCAGCAUCUCUGCAUGACUUCAGAGGCCAGAGGAUUUUGCAGACCUUGCUCUUUGGCCGUAGACUUCCCAGACCUCCUCUCUGGAGAUGUGAAGGACGAGCGUCCAGAGGACGUUUGCUGUCACGGGAGAACAGCGCUGAGACCAUCUCCUCCGGAAGCCUUCUGUGAUCUGUUCCUUGUCGGCUGGCCUCCCCUGCACUUCCGGGCCCACAGUGGGGUCUCGCCUCCGAACUCCUCAGGUCCUGGGCUGGAGCCAUUCACAGGGGAGGGCUUCCUAGUUCAGCCUCACCAUCGGACCCCGAGUCCUGAGCAGCUGCGACCAGAGGCUUCCUGCCCAUAGCCUCAUCCCAUGGUGCUUAAUACAAUAUGAGCUAUGGGGCCCGCUUGGGCAGUGUGGAGGGAAUCGCUCCUAUGUGCCCACGCCUUGUAGACGAUGUUGGGACUGAACCAGGAGAAAGUAGGGAACACUUCGCUGCAACUGGUCACCGCUGCACGCCCGCACCUUCCUAGGCCGACUGUCUGCACCCCUGGCCUGCCCUUCUCCGGCUCAGGGAGGAGCAGCCCCGAGUUGCUGAGAGCUAACACUGAGCUGGCACCGCACCGACUGCCUUUCACACGUCCUUUCACUCGGCCUUUACAACAGCAAAGAGAAUGAACUGUAACCGCCCGAAUGAAGUCAAGGCCGUGAAACCCUAUAAAAGGAGGAGCGUAACCCAGCGCGUCGUCGAUCCAGGCACGGUUUAUGUGCGAUCGACCCUUAUCAAUGAGCUCCAGGUCGAGCACUCAGGUGCUGCUGAUGGUGGUGGUGACCUGGUUGCUGUUGCUGCUUGACCAUGACUUCCAGCCACUCCACUGCUUUCCCUCAACUCUUCAGCUCUGAUGGGCAACUCAGCAUGAGGACCUGAAGUUCUACGAUGAAAAAUUAGAGAGGUAUAGGGCUGGGGAAGAGACAUAAAGGGUAAAAAAGCCUACGGGACAUAAAAAUGAAGAGUAGAGACUGGAAAGGCUGGACUUCAGGGUGUGCCUUAGGUACAUAUUUUGAAAGAUGCCUAGUAGUAAAAGAAGACAGCUGUGUUUGCCACCCUCCUCACCUGAGUGUGUUUCGUUGGCCACUGAGAAGCCACUGGCAAUGAAAGGACACUUACGUCAUCGUCAUUAAUAAAUACUGAUAUCAGCUGACCUGUUUCCAAACUCCACGUGUCUGGCCCAGGUUAAAUGCUUUACGCACACUGUCCCUGGGGCAGAGUGGGAAGCUGAGGUCUGUGUGCUCUCCACUUGUCUGCUGUAUGAUUUGGGGUGGAAAUCACUGAAUUAGGACUUGGGAGUACCUCAGAACAUGCUGUUCUCUGCAUAAACUAUAUUCCUCAUCAAGGACCAGGCGAGCACAUGCACUGACUUCAUUAAUUUAUGGACUCCUUGGGAAGACAAGAGACGUACGUGAAAAUUCAAGGGUGAAUUAGCUCUACAAGAAUACAGGAGUUGCCAGAAGGUGGGAGGUAGGACUAAAUGACAAGUUAAUGGCAGAAAUAUAGGACUCAUAGGAUCUUAGCAAAAUGUAUUAAUUAACUGCACCAAAAGUUGGACAAGUUACAUUUAAUACGCUUG